GGUGAAGCCAGCAGGGUAUCGACAGCUAAUGGUUAUGCCUUCCUAUUCUGCAGCUUGACUAUAUGAACUGUCAGUUCUAAUGACUUUGGGCAAACAAGGGCAACUGCUCUCUACUGAACACUUUUACCUUCCCAAGCUGAGUUUGACAUAAUUACUGCAUUGGAGCUAAGAUUUGUAAUCUGAUCGCCAAUGUCAAUGGAAAUGAAGGCUUUCAUGAAGAACAAAACCUGUUAAGAAUACUCAAGGCUCAGCAUCAAUCCCACUCAUGAGCAAUUAAAAUAUUAAUUUAUGACGCA
rnacentral:lncRNA from 1 species